rnacentral:rRNA from 1 species
CUUAAGGGCUCACUGUGAAACUGUACCCUUGUUCGGGGGGGAUAACUAGUCGAAAGAUUAGCUAAUACCGCAUACGACCUGAGGGUGAAAGCGGGGGACCGAAAGGCUCGCGCAGCAGGAGCGGCCGAUGUCUGAUUAGCUAGUUGGUGGGGUAAAGGCCCACCAAGGCGACGAUCAGUAGCUGGUCUGAGAGGACGAUCAGCCACACUGGGACUGAGACACGGCCCAGACUCCACGGGAGGCAGCAGUGGGGAAUUUUGGACAAUGGGGGCAACCCUGAUCCAGCAAUGCCGCGUGUGUGAAGAAGGCCUUCGGGUUGUAAAGCACUUUUGUCCGGAAAGAAAUUGCUCUGGCUAAUACCGGGGUAGAUGACGGUACCGGAAGAAUAAGCACCGGCUAACUACGUGCCAGCAGCCGCGGUAAUACGUAGGGUGCGAGCGUUAAUCGGAAUUACUGGGCGUAAAGCGUGCGCAGGCGGUUUUGUAAGAAGGCGUGAAAUCCCCGGGCUCAACCUGGGAAUUGCGCUUGUGACUGCAAGGCUAGAGUGCGUCAGAGGGGGGUAGAAUUCCACGUGUAGCAGUGAAAUGCGUAGAGAUGUGGAGGAAUACCGAUGGCAAGGCAGCCCCCUGGGACGUGACUGACGCUCAUGCACGAAAGCGUGGGGAGCAAACAGGAUUAGAUACCCUGGUAGUCCACGCCCUAAACGAUGUCAACUAGUUGUUGGGGAUUCAUUUUCUCAGUACGUAGCUAACGCGUGAAGUUGACCGCCUGGGGAGUACGGUCGCAAGAUUAAAACUCAAAGGAAUUGACGGGGACCCGCACAAGCGGUGGAUGAUGUGGAUUAAUUCGAUGCAACGCGAAAAACCUUACUACCCUUGACAUGCCACUAACGAAGCAGAGAUGCAUUAGGUGCCCGAAAGGGAAAGUGGACACAGGUGCUGCAUGGCUGUCGUCAGCUCGUGUCGUGAGAUGUUGGGUUAAGUCCCGCAACGAGCGAACCCUUGUCUCUAGUUGCUACGCAAGAGCACUCUAGAGAGACUGCCGGUGACAAACCGAGGGAAGGUGGGGAUGACGUCAAGUCCUCAUGGCCCUUAUGGGUAGGGCUUCACACGUCAUACAAUGGGCGUACAGAGGGUUGCCAACCCGCGAGGGGGAGCUAAUCCCAGAAAACGCAUCGUAGUCCGGAUCGUAGUCUGCAACUCGACUACGUGAAGCUGGAAUCGCUAGUAAUCGCGGAUCAGCAUGCCGCGUGAAUACGUUCCCGGGUCUUGUACACACCGCCCGUCACACCAUGGGAGUGGGUUUUGCCCACUACAAAGUGGCCGG